rnacentral:rRNA from 1 species
GAUGAACGCUGGCGGCGUGCCUAAUACAUGCAAGUCGAGCGAACGGACGAGAAGCUUGCUUCUCUGAUGUUAGCGGCGGACGGGUGAGUAACACGUGGAUAACCUACCUAUAAGACUGGGAUAACCUCGGGAAACCGGAGCUAAUACCGGAUAAUAUUUUGAACCGCAUGGUUCAAAAGUGAAAGACGGUCUUGCUGUCACUUAUAGAUGGAUCCGCGCUGCAUUAGCUAGUUGGUAAGGUAACGGCUUACCAAGGCAACGAUGCAUAGCCGACCUGAGAGGGUGAUCGGCCACACUGGAACUGAGACACGGUCCAGACUCCUACGGGAGGCAGCAGUAGGGAAUCUUCCGCAAUGGGCGAAAGCCUGACGGAGCAACGCCGCGUGAGUGAUGAAGGUCUUCGGAUCGUAAAACUCUGUUAUUAGGGAAGAACAUAUGUGUAAGUAACUGUGCACAUCUUGACGGUACCUAAUCAGAAAGCCACGGCUAACUACGUA